rnacentral:rRNA from 1 species
AAGUCCCGUAACGAGCGCAACCCUUGUCCUUAGUUACCGGCACGUUAUGGUGGGCACUCUAAGGAGACUGCCGGUGACAAACCGGAGGAAGGUGGGGAUGACGUCAAGUCAUCAUGGCCCUUACGGCCUGGGCUACACACGUGCUACAAUGGUCGGUACAAAGGGUUGCCAAGCCGCGAGGUGGAGCUAAUCCCAUAAAACCGAAUCGUAGUCCGGAUCGCAGUCUGCAACUCGACUGCGUGAAGUCGGAAUCGCUAGUAAUCGUGAAUCAGAAUGUCACGGUGAAUACGUUCCCGGGCCUU